UGACCUCGGAUCAGGUAGGGAUACCCGCUGAACUUAAGCAUAUCAAUAAGCGGAGGAAAAGAAACCAACCGGGAUUGCCUCAGUAACGGCGAGUGAAGCGGCAAGAGCUCAAAUUUGAAAGCUGGCUCCUUCGGAGUCCGCAUUGUAAUUUGCAGAGGAUGCUUUGGGUGCGGCCCCCGUCUAAGUGCCCUGGAACGGGCCGUCAGAGAGGGUGAGAAUCCCGUCUUGGGCGGGGUGUCCGUGCCCGUGUAAAGCUCCUUCGACGAGUCGAGUUGUUUGGGAAUGCAGCUCUAAAUGGGUGGUAAAUUUCAUCUAAAGCUAAAUACUGGCCGGAGACCGAUAGCGCACAAGUAGAGUGAUCGAAAGAUGAAAAGCACUUUGAAAAGAGAGUUAAACAGCACGUGAAAUUGUUGAAAGGGAAGCGCUUGCGACCAGACUCGCCCGCGGGGUUCAGCCGGCAUUCGUGCCGGUGUACUUCCCCGUGGGCGGGCCAGCGUCGGUUUGGGCGGCCGGUCAAAGGCCCCUGGAAUGUAGUGCCCUCCGGGGCACCUUAUAGCCAGGGGUGCAAUGCGGCCAGCCUGGACCGAGGAACGCGCUUCGGCACGGACGCUGGCAUAAUGGUCGUAAACGACCCGUCUUGAAACACGGACCAAGGAGUCUAACAUCUACGCGAGUGUUCGGGUGUCAAACCCGUGCGCGCAGUGAAAGCGAACGGAGGUGGGAGCCCCCUUGCGGGGCGCACCAUCGACCGAUC